rnacentral:lncRNA from 1 species
GGUUCUGGGGUUGGAAAUGGGGUGGGAAGAGUCUGGCCACUGGGAUCCGCCACCCAGAUAUGGGGUCUAGGAACUGGAAAUGGGAAGCCCCACAUCCCCGUUUCCCCCCUGGACCGCCCUUCUCCCCUCUCCCCUCCUCCUCACCCUCGCCAUCUUCUCCUCUCCUCGGACCAGCACGACCUCGUAGUCAUCGCCCUGGAUCAUGACGUAGGAGAAGGACGCGGCCAGCCCCGCGCUGUCCCGUCCUCCCACCGUGACGUUGAGGAAGAUCUUUGGAGCACCGCAGCUGCUCACCAACGUUUGGGCGCAGGGUCCCCCCAAGCUGUACCCCUUCCCAUCGAAGGCUCGGAACCGCCACUGCCUCAGGACGUGGCAGACGAGGGGGGGGUGGUGCACGGGGACGCAUCGGGGCGAGCCCUCCUCCGUCAGCUUGCAGGUUUCGCCCUUUGGGCAACGGAUGUGGUCGCAGGAGAGCUGGUUGGGGUCGCAUUUGGGUUGGUUGUCCACCAUCCUACAGGUCAUCCCAGCUGGACAUGGAAAAUCUUUGCAGGACAUCUUGUUGGGUUCACACUUGGGUUGGUUGUCCACCAUCCUACAGGUCGUCCCAGUUGGACAUGGAAGAUCUUUGCAGGACAACGGGUUGGGAACGCAUUGGGGCCCAUCCUUCACUAAUUGGCACGUCGUCCCGACUGGACAACGCAUAUCUUUGCAGGACGGCUUGUUGGGGACGCACUUGGGCCAGUUGUCCACCAUUUGGCACGUGGUCCCCGCCGCGCAGCGGACGGUGCCGCAGGACGGCUUGUUGGGCACGCAGGUUGGCCAGCCGCCCUCCAGUUGGCACGCGGUGCCGGCGGGGCAGCGGACGGUGCUGCAGUCGGGCGAGUCGGGCACGCAUUGGGGCCGACCUCCCAGCAUCUGGCACGUGGUCCCGUCCGAGCAACGCACCGCGGCGCAGCUGGGGCCUUGGGGGACGCAAUGGGGGACGCCCUCCGCCAUGCGGCACGCCGUGCCCGGGGGGCAAGCCUUGUCGGAGCAGGAUGUCGCCGGUGCGCUCCUCGCCAUCCGCACGCAUUUGGGCCACCCUCGCACCGCCCGGCACGCCGUCCCGCUCGGGCAUUGCAGGUCCUCGCAGGACGGGAUGCGGACGCAACGGGGCCAACCCUUGACGAUUUUGCAGCCCGUGCCCGCUUGGCAGCGGAGGUUCUUGCAGGAAGGCCGGGAGAUGCAGGUGGGGCGGCCGUGCAGCAGCGUGCAAACGGUGCCGGGGUGGCAGGUGACGUGUUGGCAGGAUGGAGGGACGCCGGUGCAGCUGGCGCCGUGGCACGGGGAGGGGACAACGGAGACCUCGGGGGGGGUUGGGGGGAGAGGAGCAGGGAGAGCUCGGGAUGCGGUGAGGAGGAGGGGUUGGCUGGGAUGGCAGCGGGGUCUGCCCUCCGCCAUGGUGCAGGCUGUGCCCUUGGGACAGACAAUGUCCGAGCAGGAAGGUUGCCUCGGGGGCACCUUCAUUUGGACGCACCGCGGGCGCCCGUCAAGCAUUUGGCACACGGCGCCCACCUGGCAGCGGAUGUCAGCGCAGGAGGGGCCGCGCUGGACGCACUGGGGCCACCCAUCCACGAUCUGGCACGCUGUCCCUUUCUGGCACUGGAUGUCACCGCAGGAGGGUUGGCGAUGGAUGCACUGGGGCUGCCCGUGUAGCAUCUUGCACGUGAUCCCUUUGGGACACUGGAUGUCCCGGCAGGAAGGUUGCCUCACGGUGGUCUUGCUUUGGAUGCACCGUGGCCAACCGUUGACUAUUUGGCACUCAGUUCCCUUCUGACACACGAUGUCAUUGCAAGAGGGACCAUUCUGGACACAGUGGGGCCACCCAUCCGUCAUCCUACACGAUGUCCCUUUGGGACAAUGGAUGUCCCUGCAAGAAGGUUGCCUUGGGGCCACCUUGGGUUGAACACACUGUGGCCAACCAUUGACCGUCUGACACAAAGAACCUUUGGAACACUGGAUGUCACUGCAGGUGGGCCUCCUGAUGGAAGUCUUUGGUUGGACACAGCGUGGCCAUCCAUCCACCAUUUGGCACUCAGUUCCCUUCUGACACUGCACAUCCUGACAGGAUGGCUGGUUCUGCACGCAGUGGGGCCACCCAUCUGUCAUUGUGCAUGAUGUCCCUUUAGGACAUUGGAUGUCCCUGCAGGAAGGUUGCCUUGGGGCCACCUUGGGUUGGACACACUGUGGCCAACCAUUGACCAUCUGACACGUGGUCCCUUUGGAACACUGGAUGUCACUACAAGUAGGUCUCCUGAUGGAAGUCUUUGUCUGGACACAGCGUGGCCAACCAUUCACCACUUGGCACACGGUUCCCUUCUGACAUUGGAUAUCCUGGCAAGAGGCCUGGUUCUGCACGCAGUGGGGCCACCCAUCCGUCAUCCUACACGAUGUCCCUUUAGGACAUUGCAUGUCCACACAAGAAGGUUGCCUUGGGGCCACCUUGGGUUGAACACACUGUGGCCAACCAUUGACCGUCUGACACACCAUCCCCUUGGAACACUGGAUGUCACUACA